rnacentral:tRNA from 1 species
ACCUGGCUGGCUCAGUCCAUAGGGCGUGUGACUCUUGAUCUCAGGGUUGUGGGUUUGAGCCCCACGUUGGGGG